UUAAAAAAAAUGACUGCUUACUAUGGUCACAAGUUCAUUCAAGACCCAAACAGCCCAAAAUUAGCUAAAAGCAUAUUUGUAGUAGAGAUGUGGUAGCUCAAUAAAUGUUACAAACCAAAAAACAUUCCAAUUUAUCUUCACGGAAGACUAGGGAA